AAGAAAGCUAACGUUUCUGUGUUCGUCUCUUCCAAGUUCAUCCUCCAUCGCUAUUUUCAGCGAGUCAACCACGGAUGUAUCAUCUCACGCUCGUCUCUUUCGAUUCCUUCCUCGAGGUUCCGGUUCCGUCCCGCCGCUUCACACAUUUGUGCUCCGGCGAUCGAUAAGUCGACGUUCGUCGUAUCAGAAGAUGAGCUAUGGGCUGCAGCUUGUCUUCGCGUACGGACCUUCAACGAGCUCAAUCGUUCUGCUUACAAUAUCCAAGUAUUUGGGAAUCAUGAAUUCAACUCCCUGAACUGUGAGUUGUGUUUAUAUCGAAGUCGUAUAUGAAAUUUUAAUUGAUGUUGGAGCUGUGAGUAUAGUCAGGGAGAUGUUCUGAUGCGGUAGAUUGCAUUGUUAUUGUGUGAUAUGGUUUCGACUGUUUCCUUGGUUUGAAAGUGUUAAGGCUUCUUGGCUCUUUUUUUUCUUCUAAUAUUUGUGUACUAAUGCUGAUGCUACAUUUUGCUGUUCAAGUUUAAUUAGGAUCAUACUUGUCA